rnacentral:rRNA from 1 species
GACCGGCGAACGGGUGAGUAACGCGUACACAACUUACCUCUAAGUGGGGAAUAGCCUCGGGAAACUGAGAUUAAUACCCCAUAGUAUUACCAUAUUUAUGAUUAGGUAAUUAAAGCUCAGGCGCUUAGAGAUGGGUGUGCGUCCCAUUAGCUUGUUGGUAAGGUAACGGCUUACCAAGGCAACGAUGGGUAGGGGGCGUGAGAGCGUGGCCCCCCACACGGGUACUGAGACACGGGCCAG